rnacentral:rRNA from 1 species
CCUACGGGUGGCUGCAGUGAGGAAUAUUGGUCAAUGGACGAGAGUCUGAACCAGCCAAGUAGCGUGAAGGAUGACUGCCCUAUGGGUUGUAAACUUCUUUUAUAUGGGAAUAAAAUGUUCCACGUGUGGGAUUUUGUAUGUACCAUAUGAAUAAGGAUCGGCUAACUCCGUGCCAGCAGCCGCGGUAAUACGGAGGCUCCGAGCGUUAUCCGGAUUUAAUUGGGUUAAAGGGAGCGUAGGUGGAUUGUUAAGUCAGUUGUGAAAGUUUGCGGCUUAAACGUAAAAGUGCAGUUGAAACUGGCAGUCUUGAGUACAGUAGAGGUGGGCGGAAUGCGUGGUGUAGCGGUGAAAUGCUUAGAUAUCACGAAGAACUCCGAUUGCGAAGGCAGUUUACUGGAUUGCUACUGACACUGAGGCACGAAAGUGUGGGUAUCAAACAGGAUUAGAUACCCGAGUAGUC